rfam:Chelonia mydas contig132366, whole genome shotgun sequence.
GAGAUUGGAUUUUGCACCAGAUCGCAUAAAUCUUUCUCCUUUUACUAAAGAUUUCCGUGGAGAGGAACCAUUGCAGAAUCUGCAAAUCAUCCCGCCAGUAGGAGUCAGCCUGGUG